rnacentral:rRNA from 1 species
UCGNCGNGANUAAAGNNAGCUUGCUAUUUUUAUGAAGAGCGGCGAACGGGUGAGUAACGCGUGGGAAAUCUGCCGAGUAGCGGGGGACAACGUUUGGAAACGAACGCUAAUACCGCAUAACAAUGAGAAUCGCAUGAUUCUUAUUUGAAAGAAGCAAUUGCUUCACUACUUGAUGAUCCCGCGUUGUAUUAGCUAGUUGGUAGUGUAAAGGACUACCAAGGCGAUGAUACAUAGCCGACCUGAGAGGGUGAUCGGCCACACUGGGACUGAGACACGGCCCAGACUCCUACGGGAGGCAGCAGUAGGGAAUCUUCGGCAAUGGGGGCAACCCUGACCGAGCAACGCCGCGUGAGUGAAGAAGGUUUUCGGAUCGUAAAACUCUGUUGUUAGAGAANAACGUUAAGUAGAGUGGAAAAUUACUUAAGUGACGGUAUCUAACCAGAAAGGGACGGCUAACUACGUGCCAGCAGCCGCGGUAAUACGUAGGUCCCAAGCGUUGUCCGGAUUUAUUGGGCGUAAAGCGAGCCCAGGUGGUUUCUNAAGUCUGAUGUAAAAGGCAGUGGCUCANCCAUUGUGUGCAUUGGAAACUGGGAAACUUGAUUGCNGGAAANGAAAGUGNANUNCAUGUGUAGCGGUGAUGGNCNAAAANA